rnacentral:rRNA from 1 species
GAUGAACGCUAGCGGCAGGCCUAACACAUGCAAGUCGAGGGGUAGAGUUCUUCGGGACUUGAGACCGGCGCACGGGUGCGUAACGCGUAUGCAAUCUACCUUAUACAGGGGAAUAGCCCAGAGAAAUUUGGAUUAAUGCCCCAUAGUGUUAUCGAAUCGCAUGGUUUGAUAACUAAAGUUCCAACGGUAUAAGAUGAGCAUGCGUCCAUUAGUUAGUUGGUAAGGUAACGGCUUACCAAGGCAACGAUGGGUAGGGGUACCGUGAGAGGGAGAUCCCCACACUGGUACUGAGACACGGACCAGACUCCUACGGGAGGCAGCAGUGAGGAAU